CGUUUUUAUUCUCAAUCUCAUUUUCAAUUUUCAUUUCUAUCUCACACUCAUCUUCUUUUUCUUUCAUUUCUUUUUCUUUUUCAUUUUCUCGCUCGCACUCUUUUUCUUUUUCACAUGAUGUUUCGAUUUCAUUACAAAAGUAUAAAUCAUCAAAAAGAGAAACCUUUUGUUGAGAAUAAGAAAAGGGUUCUUCAUACAAAUGGCAAUCUUCUCUUUGUGAUAGAUCUUCCGUAGCCGAGUACUUUGACACUCUUGAAACACGUUCGCCUCUUCGUAAAUAAUCCUUUGUAGAUGAAUAAAUUGAGGCACUUGUAGAGACAUGUUUACCUUUUCGUUUAUCAUCUCGGAAGAACUCAAACUCAGAGUUUGCUUCUCUUGGUCUUGAACGCCUUGUUGAAUAGAAGUCUUGAUAAGAGUCUCUUGUCGAGUAGUGUCGUCGGGAUGAUCUUAACUCUGUUUCUCGACUGGGUAGAUUUUGUUUCCGUCGAGCCUUUUACUCCCCUCGGUCCAAACGAUAAUAUAAUUUAUCAAAUUUUAAUUUUACUAUUCUACGCAUUUCUUGCAUCAAAUAUUGGAAUUCCGAUUCAGAAAAUUCUUCUUGAGACAUGAUUUAAUUGCUCACCACAAAAAUCUCACGUUUCACUCGCAAAGAAAAUUCACACAACUUGGCUUUUACUUCUCUCAAAUGGUCUCACCAAUCACUCUUGCCUUUUUCCACUCGAUUUUUCGCCUCUCGAAGAUCUUCGCAAACUAAGUCGACGAAUCAAUACCGUUUGGCAUCGGCUUACAAAAUUGAUUUGGCUUGGUGGGUAAUGAUGUCAGAAAUGGUAGGCUAUCAAACAAAAUAGAAA
rnacentral:lncRNA from 1 species